rnacentral:tRNA from 1 species
AGGGCCUUGAUGUUAAUGGUAGCAUGACGGUCUCCAAAACCGUUCGUAGGGGUUCGACUCCUCUAGGCCCUG